rnacentral:rRNA from 1 species
AACGAACGCUGGCGGCAUGCCUAACACAUGCAAGUCGAACGAGACCUUCGGGUCUAGUGGCGCACGGGUGCGUAACGCGUGGGAACCUGCCCUUAGGUUCGGAAUAACUCCCCGAAAGGGGUGCUAAUACCGGAUAAUGUCUUCGGACCAAAGAUCUAUCGCCUUUGGAUGGGCCCGCGUUGGAUUAGCUAGUUGGUAGGGUAAAAGCCUACCAAGGCGACGAUCCAUAGCUGGUCUGGGAGGAUGAUCAGCCACACUGGGACUGAGACACGGCCCAGACUCGUACGGGAGGCAGCAGUGGGGAAUAUUGGACGAUGGGCGAAAGCCUGAUCCAGCAAUGCCGCGUGAGUGAUGAAGGCCUUAGGGUUGUAAAGCUCUUUUACCCGGGAUGAUAAUGACAGUACCGGGAGAAUAAGCUCCGGCUAACUCCGUG